GACGUAGGGCGCGAGCGUUGUCCGGAUUUAUUGGGCGUAAAGAGCUCGUAGGCGGCUUGUUACGUCGACUGUGAAAUCCCGCGGCUCAACUGCGGGCUUGCAGUCGAUACGGGCAGGCUAGAGUUCGGUAGGGGAGACUGGAAUUCCUGGUGUAGCGGUGAAAUGCGCAGAUAUCAGGAGGAACACCGGUGGCGAAGGCGGGUCUCUGGGCCAUAACUGACGCUGAGAAGCGAAAGCAUGGGGAGCGAACAGG
rnacentral:rRNA from 1 species